rnacentral:rRNA from 1 species
UACGAAGGGUGCAAGCGUUACUCGGAAUUACUGGGCGUAAAGCGUGCGUAGGUGGUUCGUUAAGUCUGAUGUGAAAGCCCUGGGCUCAACCUGGGAAUGGCAUUGGAAACUGGCGACCUAGAGUGCGGUAGAGGGUAGUGGAAUUCCCGGUGUAGCAGUGAAAUGCGUAGAGAUCGGGAGGAACAUCCGUGGCGAAGGCGACUACCUGGGCCAACACUGACGCUCAUGCACGAAAGCGUGGGGAGCAAACAGG